CGAGCGGCAGCACGGGGAGCUUGCUCCCUGGUGGCGAGCGGCGGACGGGUGAGUAAUGCAUAGGAAUCUGCCCGGUAGUGGGGGAUAACGUGGGGAAACCCACGCUAAUACCGCAUACGUCCUACGGGAGAAAGCGGAGGAUCUUCGGACUUCGCGCUAUCGGAUGAGCCUAUGUCGGAUUAGCUAGUUGGUAAGGUAACGGCUUACCAAGGCAACGAUCCGUAGCUGGUCUGAGAGGAUGAUCAGCCACACUGGGACUGAGACACGGCCCACACUCCUACGGGAGGCAGCAGUGGGGAAUAUUGGACAAUGGGCGAAAGCCUGAUCCAGCCAUGCCGCGUGUGUGAAGAAGGCUUUCGGGUUGUAAAGCACUUUCAGCGAGGAAGAAAGCCUCUGGGUUAAUACCCCAGAGGAAGGACAUCACUCGCAAAAGAAGCACCGGCUAACUCCGUGCCAGCAGCCGCGGUAAUACGGAGGGUGCGAGCGUUAAUCGGAAUUACUGGGCGUAAAGCGCGCGUAGGUGGCUUGGCACGCCGGUUGUGAAAGCCCCGGGCUCAACCUGGGAACUGCAUCCGGAACGGCCAGGCUAGAGUGCAGGAGAGGAAGGUAGAAUUCCCGGUGUAGCGGUGAAAUGCGUAGAGAUCGGGAGGAAUACCAGUGGCGAAGGCGGCCUUCUGGCCUGACACUGACACUGAGGUGCGAAAGCGUG
rnacentral:rRNA from 1 species